rfam:Myotis brandtii contig182730, whole genome shotgun sequence.
CGUGCACUGGUGGGGUCCCUCGGCCUGGCCUGCACCCUCUCACAAUCCGGGACCCCAUGGGGAAUGUUGAACUGCUGGUUUUGGGCCAAUCCCUGUAGGCCAGGCCGAGGGACCCCACUAGUGCACG